rnacentral:rRNA from 1 species
CAGCCGCCGCGGUAAUACGAAGGAUCCAAGCGUUAUCCGGAAUCAUUGGGUUUAAAGGGUCCGUAGGCGGUCUUGUAAGUCAGUGGUGAAAGCCCAUCGCUCAACGGUGGAACGGCCAUUGAUACUGCAGGACUUGAAUUAUUGGGAAGUAACUAGAAUAUGUAGUGUAGCGGUGAAAUGCUUAGAGAUUACAUGGAAUACCAAUUGCGAAGGCAGGUUACUACCAAUUGAUUGACGCUGAUGGACGAAAGCGUGGGUAGCGAACAGGAUUAGAUACCCCCGUAGUCCCUGUCUCUUAUAC